GAUAGUUUAAGAUAGUAUAUGUUCAACUGUUAUGAAGUAUUUAUACAAACAAGACAUUAAUUUUAAAUAGCUUCAAAUAGAAAAUCCUUAACCUGGAACUAAGGGGUAUGGGGUACAAGAAGACAUGACCAAAAGAACCUGGGAUGUGAUUCAUGGAUUAAAAAAGAUUAGGGGGCUUCCCUGGUGGCGCAGUGGUUGAGAAUCUGCCUGCGAAUGCAGGGGACACGGGUUCGAGCCCUGGUCUGGGAAGAUCCCACAUGCCGCGGAGCAACUGGGCCCGUGAUCCACAACUGCUGAGCCUGCGCGUCUGGAGCCUGUGCCCCGCAACGGGAGGGACCGCGAUAGUGAGAGGCCCGCGCACCGCGAUGAAGAGUGGUCCCUGCACCACGAUGAAGAGUGGCCCCCGCUUGCCGCAACUAGAGAAAGCCCUCGCACGAAACAAAGACCCAACACAGCUAAAAUAAAUAAAUAAAUAAAUAAAUAAAUAAAUAAAUAAAUAAAUAAUGUAGCUAUUAAAAAAAAAUUAUAAAAAAAAAAAAAGAUUAGGAACACUGACAGGUGUUUAACAAGACUUUGGAGGUAGGGUAGGGUAGACACGUGCAACAAACACAUUCCAAAAAGUGGAACCAAACCAACAAGAGCAGAAAAGUUUAAGUUAAAGAAAUGUUAUUUGUCUAGACUGGUUGACAGUAUAUGUAAGGAGUGGAAGAAAGCCUAGAAAAGUUGGUUGGAACCAGAUUAUGGAAGGGUUUGAAUACUGAGGAGUUUAGAGUUGGCAAGCAUGUUUUGGGGAGUCAGAAAGUUUUGAGCAGGAAAUGAUGAUUGGCUUGAUUUAGCAGUGCUGUACAGGAAGGAUUUGGUAGUGAGGAGAUAGGCAGGCAGAGACUGCAGACCAGGGAAUCAGGAGGCUAAUACAGACAGUAAUCUAAAGUAAGGAGGGCCUGGAGACGAUUUCUUAAGUGCCUGUUAUGAGCUGGUGCUGGUGAUACAAUGAGGACUGGGUCCUUUUGAGGAGGAAGUUUUUAGUCUAGCGAGAUAUUGAUCUCUUAAAGGCUCCUAGAGGGGUCUCUAUGCAAAACUUUGGGACCACUUCUGAUCGUUUCCUGGUUACUAGGUUAAUUAGAUCGAUCCUCAUUUUAUAAUAGGAUGUAUUCUCUACCUUCUAAAAUUACUUUUCCGUUUUAUCAGUCUGCUAAGGCAAAAGUAUCCCAACCACUUGCACAUAAAGAAAAGCAAUUUAUUACAUAAAACAAGAUAAGACAGGAACAUGACACCAUACAAGGCAAAGAAGAAAAUGACACGUUUUAAAGAGAGAACAGAAGAUGAUGAGGAGAAUGAACUGGAGGUUAGAUUAGGGGCAAGAAAACCAGUUAAGAGGUUGUUGUAGUAAUCCACCUGCUUGAUUAUGAGGGUCUGAACUAAGUAUGAAAGAAGAGGAGUCCUUGGUGGCUACUUCCACCAUAAUCCUUUCUGUCACUGCCCUGGUACAACUCGGGGGUGGGUAAAGGACUCUCAGAAUUGAUCUUGAACAGAGGGACUCAAGAACACAAGAAACACUUGUUCACUUCUGCAGACUUAGAGGUAAGGCUCCUACUGUCAAGCAGUCUCUCUUCUUGUUCCUUUCUUAUUUGGAACAUGGUUUACCAGCCUUCACAUUGAUUCUGUGAACUCCCUGAUAAAUUCUUGUUUUGCUUUAGUUAGCCCAAGUUGGUUCCUAGGGCUUACAAUAAAAAACCUCUAAUUGACACUGUAUGUGAUUUUUGAGGCACCUGUGGAUAACCAGGUGGAGACUGUUAGAAAUAUGAAACUAGAAUAGUGGUUCUCAAAGUGAUGCAUGAGCAUUACCUGAGAACUUGUUAGAAAUGUAAGUUCUCAGGCCUCGCCCCAGACUAACUGAAUAUGAAACUUGAGGAGUGGGGCCCUAGCAAUCUGAAUAUCAGUAAGCCCUCUGGGUGAUUCUAAUGCACACUAUAGUUUGAGAACCAAUUGAACUAGAGCUUAGAAGGGAGAUUGGGGGGUGGAGAUAAAGAUGUGUGAGUCAAAUGAAUGACAGUUGCUGUUAGGGGGAAUGAAUAACCUCCCAGAAGAGUGGAAGAGAGAAGAUAAGCCCCUGAAGUAGAUGAAAUAAUCAAAGAAAUUGAGACUAGUGCUGUACAGUCAAGGAGGGGGAAAUUUAACAGAGGUGUCAGGUGAUCUACAGUGUCAGGUGCUAUACAGAGGCCAAGGUGGAUGAGAGAGCCAAGCGAUAGGACUGACCAUUAAGAGGUUUUUGGUGUCAAUUAAGAGAGAAUUGGUACAGAUAAUGAAAAUAAGUGGUGAGAGAACAAAGGCAAAAAAAAAAAACAAAGGAUACUUUUUUGCAGUAGGUUGGGAGUGCAAGAAAGAAAGUUGGGGCAGAUGUCUCAGUUUUUACUGCAUAAUAAACACUCAAACACAAUGGCUUAAGACAGUAAUUAUUAUUAUAGCUCAAGUGUCUGAAGGUUGGCUGAUCUCAGCUGGGCUUGCUCAUAUAUCUGAAAGCCUAAUGUGGGCUUUCCUCUAGGCUGGGUUCUGUUUCACAGAUCUGUCAUCCUCCUGGGACUCUUUGGCUUGCCCUGAGCAUGCCUUUCUCAUGGAGACGGAAGAAGAGUUUGGUUUUGGUUUUGGUUUUUUUUUCAUUGCAGCAUUUUUUUAAUUGAAGUUAGUUGGUGUACAAUAUUAUAUGUAAGUUACAUGUGAACAUUAUAGUGAUUCACAUUUUUUAAAGGCUAUACUCCAUUUAUAGUUAUUAUACAGUAUUGGCUAUUUUCCCUGUGUUGUACAGUAUAUUCUUGUAGCUUAUUUUAUACAUAAUAGUUUGUACCUCUUAAUCCCCAACCCCUAUAUUGUCCCUCCCCCUUCCCUCUCCCCACUGGUAACCACUAGUUUGUUCUCUGUAUCUGUCAGCCUGCUUUUUUUUUAAAACUAUGUUCACUAGUUUGUUGUAUUUUUUAGAUUCCACAUAUAAGAGAUAUACAGUAUCUGUCUUUCUCUGACGUUUCAUUUGGCAUAAUGCUAAAGUCCAUCCAUGUUGCUGCAAAUGGCAAAAUUUCAUUCUUUUUUAUGGCUGAGUAGUAUUCCAUUGGAUGUAUAUACCACAUCUUCUUUAUCCAUUCAUUUGUUGAUGGACACUUAGGUUGCUCCCAUAUCUUGGCAAUUGUAAAUAAUGCUGCUGUGAACAUUGGGGUACAUGUAUCUUUUCGAAUUAGUGUUUUUGUUUUUUUCAGAUGUUUUUGUUUUUUUCUUAUCUGGAAGAAGAGCUUUAAGAGGGCAAGCAGAAACGUACAAGGCUUCUUGAGGCCUAGACUCCAAACUGGCACACUGGCACUUCUGCCUCAUAUUGGACAGAGCAGGUUGUGUGACCAAGCCCAGAUUCAAGGGGGCGGGAGAUAGAAUUCACCUUUUAGAGAAACUGCAAAGUGACAUGGCAAAGGGCAUGAGUUCACACAGGGGUGGAGAAUUGGGACCAUUAAUACCAUGGUAGGAAUGACCAGAGCAUGCUUGAAAGUAGAAAGGAAGGGAUAUGUAGGAUAAAGAAGAAAGUGAAGUAAGGAGGAAAGAUCAAUACCAUAGGUCAGAGAAUUAACCUUUGAAAAAAGGAAGGGUACUUCUGGGAAUGGAAAGAGGGGAAUUCGGUUGAAUUAGAUUUAACAAAUUAAAAUACAGGAUGCCCAGUAAAAUUUUAACUUCAGGUAAACAAUGAAUAACUUCUGAGUAUUAAGUAUGUUCUAUGCAAUAUUUGGUAGGCUCUCGGUACACAGUUUGCUAUUUUUAUCAGUUUAAAUACCAUUUAAAUAUUUCUAUAAUGCAGUACUUGGGACACAUUUAUCCUAAAGUAUGUUUCCUUAUUUAUUUGAAAUUCAAAUAUCACCAGGCAACCUGUAUUUUGACAACCCUACUUUGGAUGCAUUUUAAACAGAGCCAUGGUAAGGUCAUCUACAAAGGGCUACACGGGUGCGUUUGGGGACUUAAUCCUGGGAGACGUUUGGAACAGCCGCCGUGGGUGCUGUGCAGUGUCAGCGGAAGGACUGCCGAUCGGUAGUGAGGCCCACUUACCAACAGGCAGCAUGACUUUUUCUUGGGUCAGCAGUAAUGCUUGACUGCUGGUAGGCAGUGGUAGGAACAGAGGCAGCCAGUGCAGGCCACCACCUUGGUCUGACUGCGUAGGAGACGCCUGGGGAGGAGUUUGGGGCAUAGUUGAAAUGACUAGGGGCCCAGACGGUACACGGAAGCAGGUGAAACCAGAAGGUGAAUUGGGAGGCAGAAGAUGAACAAUUAUUCGUUUUCAUUGGAAGAGGUGGAAGUUCACAGAGAAGAAACAGAAUUUACAGUCUUGGAAGAAUAGUUCUGUGAUAGUGGGGUUAAAAAUCCAAUUUCAUGAGACAGAACUGGAGCUAAAUUUAAAGCAAGAGCCCUGGAGACAAGGUGAACAUGCUUUGGGAUUUUCAUAGUUUGAGUGAUUCCUCUGGGCUCUACCACCCAGCAAGUUAAAGAGGACAAGAUUCCUUCCUGGGGAUUGUGGUUCUGGGAACGUGAGCAGCUUGUUUUCAUGAGAGCUGCACCCUGACGGGGCCUACUGUUAGGAGCUGUUGUGUGGGUGGCUGUGUUGUUUUUAGUUGUUUCUUCCAUCCUACACUGUUGUUUGUAUAUAAAGAUUUUUGAAAAGUGAAUGUUUUACGGGGCUGUUUUGCUUAUACAAAGAAAAUUAAAACAAUUUCAAAGUAA